GACGAACGCUGGCGGCAUGCCUAACACAUGCAAGUCUAGGGGUAGCAAUACCACUGGCGCACGGGUGAGUAACACGUAGGUUAUCUGCCCCCAUCACAGACAUAACCCCGGGAAACCGGGGCUAAUAUCUGAUGAGGUCGCGAGAUCAAAGCUUCGGCGGAUGGGGAUGAGCCUGCGGCUGAUUAGCUAGUUGGUGAGGUAAUGGCUCACCAAGGCGACGAUCAGUAGCUGGUCUGAGAGGACGAACAGCCACACUGGAACUGAGACACGGUCCAGACUCCUACGGGAGGCAGCAGUGAGGAAUAUUGGUCAAUGGGAGCAAUCCUGAACCAGCAAUGCCGCGUGUGGGAUGACAGGGCUCCGCCUUGUAAACCACUGUCGGACGGGACGAAAGGAGGCCUCGGGCCUCUGGGACGGUACCGUCAAAGGAAGGGUCGGCUAACUACGUGCCAGCAGCCGCGGUAAU
rnacentral:rRNA from 1 species